AUGUACGUGUAAAUGAUGCUUUAGGUGUGUGUGUGUAAUGUACGUGUAAAUGAUGCUUUAGGUGUGUGUGUAAUGUAUGUGUAAAUGAUGCUUUAUGUGCGUGUGAGUAAUGUAUGUGUAAAUGAUGCUUUAGGUGUGUGUGUGUAAUGUAUGUGUAAAUGAUGCUUUAGGUGUGUGUGUGUAAUGUAUGUGUAAAUGAUGCUUUAGGUGUGUGUGUGUAAUGUAUGUGUAAAUUAUGCUUUAGGUGUGUGUGUGUAAUGUAUGUGUAAAUGAUGCUUUAUGUGCGUGUGAGUAAUGUAUGUGUAAAUGAUGCUUUAGGUGUGUGUGUGUAAUGUAUGUGUAAAUGAUGCUUUAGGUUCGUGUGUGUAAUGUAUGUGUAAAUGAUGCUUUAGGUGUGUGUGUGUGUAAUGUAUGUG